GAUGAACGCUGGCGGCGUGCCUAAUACAUGCAAGUCGAGCGAACGGACGAGAAGCUUGCUUUUCUGAUGUUAGCGGCGGACGGGUGAGUAACACGUGGAUAACCUACCUAUAAGACUGGGAUAACUUCGGGAAACCGGAGCUAAUACCGUAUAAUAUUUUGAACCGCAUGGUUCAAAAGUGAAAGACGGUCUUGCUGUCACUUAUAGAUGGAUCCGCGCUGCAUUAGCUAGUUGGUAAGGUAACGGCUUACCAAGGCAACGAUGCAUAGCCGACCUGAGAGGGGGAUAGGCCACACUGGAACUGAGACACGGUCCAGACGCCUAAGGGAGGCAGCAGUAGGGAAUCUUCCGCAAUGGGCGGAAGCAUGACGGAGCAACGCGGCGUGAGUGAUGAAGGUCUUCGGAUCGUAAAACUCGGUUAUGAGGGAAGAACAGAUGUGUAAGUAACUGUGCACAUCUUGACGGUACCUAAUCAGAAAGCAACGGCUAACUACGUG
rnacentral:rRNA from 1 species